GGCGCUGUGGCUUAGUUGGUUAAAGCGCCUGUCUAGUAAACAGGAGAUCCUGGGUCCAAAUCCAAACAGUGCCU
rnacentral:tRNA from 1 species